rnacentral:tRNA from 1 species
AGGAUAUUAGUUAAAUUUAUAACAUUUAUUUUGCAAAUAAAAAUUAUUUACUAAAAUAUAUCUUA